GCCAGUGUGGUGCAGUGGUUUGGGUGCUGGACUAGGAUUCUGGAGAUCAGGGUUCAAAUCCCUGCUCAGCCA